UACGUAGGUGGCGAGCGUUAUCCGGAUUUACUGGGUGUAGAGGGUGUGUAGGCGGACCGGCAAGUCAGGUGUGAAAACUAUCGGCUCAACCGAUAGACUGCACUUGAAACUGUUGGCCUUGAGAGUCGGAGAGGUAAGCGGAAUUCCCAGUGUAGCGGUGAAAUGCGUAGAUAUUGGGAGGAACACCAGUGGCGAAGGCGGCUUACUGGACGACCACUGACGCUGAGACACGAAAGCGUGGGGAUCGAAC
rnacentral:rRNA from 1 species